CCUACGGGCGGCAGCAGUGAGGAAUAUUGGUCAAUGGGCGUAAGCCUGAACCAGCCAAGUCGCGUGAGGGAUGAAGGUUCUAUGGAUCGUAAACCUCUUUUAUAAGGGAAUAAAGUGCGGGACGUGUCCCGCUUUGUAUGUACCUUAUGAAUAAGGAUCGGCUAAUUCCGUGCCAGCAGCCGCGGUAAUACGGAGGAUCCGAGGGUUAUCCGGAUUUAUUGGGUUUUAAGGGUGCGUAGGCGGCCUUUUAAGUCAGCGGGGAAAGUCUGUGGCUCAACCGUGGAAUUGCAGUUGAAACUGGGAGGCUUGAGUGUGUUUGAGGAAGGCGGAAUGCGUGGUGUAGCGGUGAAAUGCUUAGAUAUCACGCAGAACCCCGAUUGCGAAGGCAGCCUGCCAGGGCAUGACUGACGCUGAGGCACGAAAGCGUGGGGAUCAAACAGGAUUAGAUACCCCGGUAGUC
rnacentral:rRNA from 1 species